rnacentral:rRNA from 1 species
CUGAUUGCCUAGGUUGUAGUGGUAAGAGUCGUUGCCGAUGGAGUUCCAGCUGCCAGAGUUUCGAUAAGAAAGAGGCGUCUGAGUAAACAGAAGUGAGAUCUUUCUAGUUCUUGAACUAGACUUCCCCAGCUUGAAGUCAAGUGAGGAACUCUUUCUCUUAUAUAGGCUAUUUUUCCUUGAAAUCCCAUUCUAUCCAUCUUAUUCUUCUGUGUAAGUAAAGACUAGCAGGGUAUUCUCUUGCAUCAAUUCCUCUCUCACUCACGAUGAAAGCUAAGAGUUUGCUCGAAGACAGCCUUUAAUUUUUAGUAGUAAUCUUUCCUAUCCUUUAGGCGGGGAUAAGUUCAUAGGAGAACUUGGUUACAUAGGAAGGAAAGGCUUAAACUAGAAGGGAUAAGAAAGGGAAUUACACUAUAUCUUGGUAAUGGCACUCCAAUAAGCUCGGCAGGGAGAGAAAGAAGAGAACGAGAAAAGGAAAUAUGAAUAAAAGGGUAUGAAAUAGGUUGCUUAUAGCGAUUGCGAUUGCGAUUACUUAUUUGGUUGGGAUUACCAACCUGACCAAAGAAUAAGAUAAAAAGAAGAGUUCCUGCCUACGGCUACAUGCCCAUUAAGAGCUAUACCAGGAGUCGAGCUAACUGCAUAGGCAGAGGGGAACUUUCCUAAAAAGCCUAAUAGCAAUUAACCGUAUUGGAAAUGACAAAUCACACUCUAAAAGGAGGUUCCCUCCCAAUAAAUGUCAAGAGGGAGCAAGGCGUGAUUGCUCUGUUGUCCCCCGACCGCCUCCCUUUCCACCUCUAAGUAGUGGUGUUGGUGUGUCUCGUUGCAAUCAUUCUGGUCAAUCCCUUUCCUAAACCAUAGGUAAGGGAUGACAGGAGAUGGCCCCUAUAGCAAAAUAAACCAACCCCUCAUUUGAGAGAGUAAAUAGAAUAGUGUCGGGCUUACGACAGUCUGACUUUUGAAUGACUAAGAAACUACUAAGCUCCCGCCCACCCCCAACCAAUUAGGGUAAAGUGUUUAUUCAUACCUUCAACAGCACCAAGAUAUUUUCCCAUGACCAUGUUUACUUUAUCUUCAAGAGCAAGCAUCCUAGCUCUCAGGGCCUCAGGCAUCCCUGGAUCCUUUCCUACUUCCUUAGUGAUUCCAAGAAGAUGCUUCAACCCCGUUAAGUUUUAGUUGACUAUCACGGCCCAAUAAAUAUUUCCAAUUCCAUUUUGGAAUAUUUUCAUUCGGCAAUGGAAUGACCUAUGUUGUUAGGGAGGACAGAAGGUAAACCGUCUUUCUUUGGUUGCCUCUCCCGUCUAGUUGAGUAGCUUUUGAUCCUUCCUACUUAAUUUAUUAUAAUAUAAUCUUAAGCUGCCACGUGGACUAUUAGGAGCUUUUUAGUCAUAGUGGGAGCUUUCGAAAAUCACUUAGCAGGUCAAGAUCAUAGGAAGAGGGAAGAACAAGGGAGAAGAUGUUAUUUAAAAGAAGACGAUUCCAAAAGAAAGUCAAAACGGGGAAUAGAGUGCCUUAAAGGUAAAUAAAAAAGAUCCUAAAUAAAAAAUAAAAUACCUAUUAAACCGAUUACAAGAAUACCAGUCACAGUACCUAUUAUCCAAAGAGGAAUCCUUCCAGUAGUAUUGGUCAUUUACCCCACUUUCCUCCAGAUUUCAUCAAGUGGUCAUGCUAGAGACAUAAAUAGCCUUGGAUAAUUGAAUUAUGAGAUCCUUCCAAACGAGCUAUGAGAAUCUUAUUUAUUCUCUAUCGUUUUGUUAAUUAAAGAAAUAAUUGGAAAAUAAAAAAGCAAGUACAAAAAUGAGUAAUAACCCCCAGUAGAGACUAGUACGAUGAUAUUCAACAUUUUGUUCAUUUGGGUUUGAUUGUGUCAUAGCUCUAUAGUUUGGAUGUUCUUUAUCAUUAGAUGAACUGCUGAUAUUGAUCCCCGAAAAAAGACGGCAGGUACAGCUAGGCCGUGAACAGCCAACCAUCGUACUGUAAAAAUUGGAUAGGUUCAAUCUAUAGUCAUUAGGGCCUCCUAAAAUGAUCUGCUAAAUUCAUUAAGUUUUUCUAAAGGAUCAAAUUGGACAGUUAUUAAUAGAAUUCCUUGUCGAAUAAGUUUCGACCUGCACGAAAAGCGUAACGAUCUGGGCACUAUCUUGGAGAGAGGCCCUAUGUUCCCUGGGAUUGGCUUUGGGCCUUUCCUGCACAGCUUAGGUGGAAGGCGAAGAAGACCUCCUUUUGGGAGGACCCAAGCCAUCAGUGAGAUACCACUCUGGAAGGGCUAGAAUUCUAACCUUGUGUCAGGACCUACGAUCCAAGGGACAGUCUCAGGUAGAUAGUUUCUAUAGGGCGUAGGCCUCCUAAAAGGUAACGGAGGCGUGCAAAGAUUUCCUCGGGCUGGACGGAGAUUGGCCCUCGAGUGCAAAGGCAAAAGGGAGCUUGACUGCAAAACCAACCCAUCGAGCAGGGAUGAAAGUUGGCCUUAUUGAUUCAACGGUGCCGAGUAAAAAGGUCAUUGCUCAACGGAGAAAAGUUACUCUAGGGAUAAUAGGUUAUCUUCCCCAAGAGCUCACAUCGACGGGAAGGUUUGGCACCUCGAUGUCGGCUCUUUCCCACCUGGGGCUGUCGUAUAUUCCAAGGGUUGGGUUGUUCGCCCAUUAAAGCGAUACGUGAGCUGGAUUUAGAAUAUCGUGAGAAGUUCGGCCCAUAUUUGAUGUGGGCGUUAGAGCAUAGAGAGGACCUUUCCCUAGUACGAGAGGACCGAGAAGGACACACCUCUGGUGUACCUGUUAUCGUGCCCACGGUAAAUACUGGGUCGCCAAGUGCGGAGCGGAUAACUGCUGAAAGCAUCUAAGUAGUAAGCCCACCCCAAGAUGAGUGCUCUCCUAUUCCGACUUUCCCAGAGUUUCUGGUAGCAUAGCCGAGACAGUGAUGGGUUCUCUACCCCUGCAGAGAUGGAGUGACAAAAGUUUUUUUGAGAAUUCAAGAGAAGGUCACAGUGAGAUAAGCCACUUAUCAUUACGAUAGGUGUCAAGUGGAAGUGCAGUGAUAUAUGCAGCUGAGGCAUCCUAACAGACCGGUAGACUUGAAC